rnacentral:rRNA from 1 species
AUUGAACGCUGGCGGCAGGCCUAACACAUGCAAGUCGAACGCGUCGGGGACGGGUGAGUAAUGCGGGGGCCUCUACCUUAGGGAGGGGGAAAUACACGGGAAGCUGUAGCAAAUACCGCAUAACAUAGGGUGAGCACAUGUGGGAUUAGGUUGGUUGUGGGGUAAAGGCACACCAAGGCGACGAUCUCUAGCUGGUCUGAGAGGAUGACCAGCCACCCUGGGACUGAGACACGGCCCAGACUCCUACGGGAGGCAGCAGUGGGGAAUAUUGCACAAUGGGGGCAAGCCUGACGCAGCCAUGCCGCGUGUAUGAAGAAGGCCUUCGGGUUGUAAAGUUCUUUUGGUAGCGAGGCGUUAUCUACAGAAGAAGCACCGGCUAACUCCGUGCCAGCAGCCGCGGUAAUAC